rnacentral:rRNA from 1 species
UACGUAGGGGGCGAGCGUUGUCCGGAUUUAUUGGGCGUAAAGAGCGUGUAGGCGGUUCGGUAAGUCUGUCGUGAAAUCCUGAGGCUCAACCUCGGACGUGCGAUGGAUACUGCCGGGCUAGAGGAUGGUAGAGGCGAGUGGAAUUCCACGUGUAGCGGUGAAAUGCGUAGAGAUGUGGAGGAACACCAGUGGCGAAGGCGGCUUUCUGGUCUGUAACUGACGCUGAGGCGCGAAAGCGUGGGGAGCAAACAGG